rnacentral:piRNA from 1 species
UGCUCAUUGACUGCAGCACUAUACUCUGGA